rnacentral:rRNA from 1 species
CCUACGGGUGGCAGCAGUGAGGAAUAUUGGUCAAUGGGCGCGAGCCUGAACCAGCCAAGUAGCGUGAAGGAUGACUGCCCUACGGGUUGUAAACUUCUUUUAUAAAGGAAUAAAGUGAGGCACGUGUGCCUUUUUGUAUGUACUUUAUGAAUAAGGAUCGGCUAACUCCGUGCCAGCAGCCGCGGUACUACGGAGGAUCCGAGCGUUAUCCGGAUUUAUUGGGUUUAAAGGGAGCGUAGAUGGGUUGUUAAGUCAGUUGGGAAAGUUUGCGGCUCAACCGUAAAAUUGCAAUUGAUACUGGCAGCCUUGAGUACAGUUGAGGUAGGCGGAAUUCGUGGUGUAGCGGUGAAAUGCAUAGAUAUCACGCAGAACUCCGAUCGCGAAGGCAGCCUACCGGCGCGCAACUGACGCUCAUGCACGAAAGCGUGGGUAUCGAACAGGAUUAGAUACCCCUGUAGUC